UACGGAGGGAGCUAGCGUUGUUCGGAAUUACUGGGCGUAAAGCGCACGUAGGCGGCUACUCAAGUCGGGGGUGAAAGCCCGGGGCUCAACCCCGGAACUGCCCUCGAAACUAGGUAGCUAGAAUCUUGGAGAGGUCAGUGGAAUUCCGAGUGUAGAGGUGAAAUUCGUAGAUAUUCGGAAGAACACCAGUGGCGAAGGCGGCUCUGGACAAGUGAUCUGACGCUGAGGACG
rnacentral:rRNA from 1 species